UACGUAGGGGGCUAGCGUUGUCCGGAAUCAUUGGGCGUAAAGAGCGCGUAGGCGGCCAGAUAAGUCCGGUGUGAAAGUCAAAGGCUCAACCUUUGAAUGCCGCUGGAAACUGUCUGGCUAGAGUCCGGAAGGGGCGAGUGGAAUUCCUGGUGUAGCGGUGAAAUGCGCAGAUAUCAGGAGGAACACCAAUGGCGAAGGCAGCUCGCUGGAACGGUACUGACGCUGAGGCGCGAAAGCCAGGGGAGCAAACAGG
rnacentral:rRNA from 1 species